CGUUCGGAGACAGUUCUAGCGAUCAGUGGCAUUUUUCAGAUAUUCCUGCAAAUUGGCGCUACUUAUUGGAAUUUUUCACGCAACAAUUCACACGUUCCUACUUGGCCCAAGCGAUCUAAUACGAACCGUAUUUGUCAUUGUUUUGCCAAUUAGAUUCCUUGUUUAUGAGGUUUCAUCACCGCGAGAAACUUAUUGAUUGAUUUUCAUUGGCUUUUAUCGGUGAGAUCGAACUACCUAAGCUCAAAGUGGAAGGGAGCAUGUUUGUAAAGCACGAUGAAGCACAGAAUUGAAAGUUAUCGCAAGCGAGCGACAAGUAUGAAAUUGAGUAGAAGUUGAAACGUAAGCAGAGGGCCAUUGAAGAACAACACGAAAUUGAAAUCGCUGUUAUUUUACCUAACGUCCACCCAGGAACGGCUUGGCUGAUAGUGUGUGAACUAUCUUACCAAGACAGGCAAAAUAACAGCGAUUUCAACCUGCUGAUAUGUUGUUCGGCGUUCGACUUCUAAAGUACUGUGCAUAUAGAUAGGGCAAGUAGAGCUCAAGUAAUGAUUCCUGUACUGAUAUUUCUUGGGCAGUACGGAGCUGACAAGGAAAACGAACAAUUUGGUUAAGCAGGCGUAUUUCAUUGCAGAAAAUUGCAGACUGACAGUUUCCGUUCAGAAAUAACUAAUCGAUACAUUAUUACUCAAGUAAUAGUGACGUUUUAUUAAGAUUAUUUCUAACUAUUUUAAAAAAAUCAUUCGCGUUCAAUUUUUUUUCUGAUUUCCUAAGUGAAUCCUGCGCUCUGCACUUCCGUUUACAGAGGAUCAGUGAGCCAAGUCCAGCGCCGACCAAGCAAUAUCAGUCGACAGUGAAGCCAGUCCUCACCGAGUGCCACUGCAGAUUCCACAUCACGCUAACCCCAUUGAAAUCGUUUAUUUUGUGCAGCGUGUAGUGCGAAGCACAAAACUCAGUGCAAUACAAUAUUAUCGUCGGUCGUGGUUUCUGUUUCCAUACCGGAAAGUGGUUCUUUUAUUUGGAGAAAUGGAUGAUUUUAUUGAUUACGAUAUAGAAUUGUUAGAAAGUGAAGAAUUGGUUGACCUUACACAAAGUUGUCCCUCUCAAAAUCAACCACCGAAGCCGG